rnacentral:rRNA from 1 species
AUCUGCCUGGUAGUGGGGGACAACGUUUCGAAAGGAACGCUAAUACCGCAUACGUCCUACGGGAGAAAGCAGGGGACCUUCGGGCCUUGCGCUAUCAGAUGAGCCUAGGUCGGAUUAGCUUGUUGGUGAGGUAAUGGCUCACCAAGGCGACGAUCCGUAACUGGUCUGAGAGGAUGAUCAGUCACACUGGAACUGAGACACGGUCCAGACUCCUACGGGAGGCAGCAGUGGGGAAUAUUGGACAAUGGGCGAAAGCCUGAUCCAGCCAUGCCGCGUGUGUGAAGAAGGUCUUCGGAUUGUAAAGCACUUUAAGUUGGGAGGAAGGGUUGUAGAUUAAUACUCUGCAAUUUUGACGUUACCGACAGAAUAAGCACCGGCUAACUCUGUGCCAGCAGCCGCGGUAAUACAGAGGGUGCAAGCGUUAAUCGGAAUUACUGGGCGUAAAGCGCGCGUAGGUGGUUUGUUAAGUUGGAUGUGAAAGCCCCGGGCUCAACCUGGGAACUGCAUCCAAAACUGGCAAGCUAGAGUACGGUAGAGGGUGGUGGAAUUUCCUGUGUAGCGGUGAAAUGCGUAGAUAUAGGAAGGAACACCAGUGGCGAAGGCGACCACCUGGACUGAUACUGACACUGAGGUGCGAAAGCGUGGGGAGCAAACAGGAUUAGAUACCCUGGUAGUCCACGCCGUAAACGAUGUCAACUAGCCGUUGGAAUCCUUGAGAUUUUAGUGGCGCAGCUAACGCAUUAAGUUGACCGCCUGGGGAGUACGGCCGCAAGGUUAAAACUCAA